rnacentral:rRNA from 1 species
GACGAACGCUGGCGGCGUGCCUAAUACAUGCAAGUCGAACGCAGUUGCGAACGGGUGAGUAACGCGUAGGUAACUGCCUCAUAGCGGGGGUUAACUAUUGGAAACGAUAGCUAAUACCCAUACUGUGAGAUGUACCUGCGUUGUAUUCGCUAGUUGGUGAGGGAAAGGCUCACCAAGGCGACGAUACAUAGCCGACCUGCGAGGGUGAUCGGGCAAACUGGGACUGGGGCACGGCCCAAAAUCCUACGGGGAGGAGCAGGAGGGGAACUUCGGGAAAGGACGGAAAGCUGACCGGGGAAAGCCGCGGGAGGGAAGAAGGUGUUCGGAUCGGAAAGCUCUGUUGGUAGGGGAGCGGUAACUAACCAGAAAGGGACGGCUAACUACGUGCCAGCAGCCGCGGUAAUAC